rnacentral:lncRNA from 1 species
GAUUCAUUCUUCGUUUUUCGCGUCCGUGAUGUCACAUCCGUCUUUGGUUUUGGCGGCAGAAUGGCAAGCUCAAAGGUGAGCUACGCUCAAACAACUGGACAAAGAUGUGGAUCGUUUAUUUUUUGGGGCUUGUGCUAGCGUAAGCUAUCAUGAAAAAGAUGUGCAGAUGAUGAAGUUGAAAGUCAGGCAUGUGUUGUGCCCAUGCUAAUUCUCUCUCGCUGUGGAAGCGGCCGCCUGGCUGCGCGAAGCCAUCAUCUGGUGCUGUGUACAGCAAGCACAUGCUUCGGGCAAGGAGGGAGCCAGCACCAUAUCUACAUCAGCAAGAACCUCGGUGCUCAAAAUAAACAUUUUCUGUGCAAA